AAUUUAUUUCAAAUUAAACUUUUGAGUAGUCAUUACUUAUACUUGCGUGUUUUGUAAAACAACUGUGUCAUUACAAAAUCUAUUUAGUAGUUUGCACUAAUCAACUGAAAUAUUGAGUGCAAUGAUCAUGUUUAGCAGAGAUAACUUGGUAGGUUACGUUUCUGUAAGGGGGGGGAGGGGCCCGUUUGAAUUUCACUCGAUUAAGCAUUAGUGCCGUGUGCAGCGCAGUGACGAGCCCAGAGGAGUCCUGCGUCCGACCGCGAAACCUAUCCUGGCUUUUGACGGAGCUGCGGGAUUUCUGCAACAACUUUGAACCAAGUGGAAUGGUUCUUGUGAAGAUGCAAUGGAAGUGUACAUAUUGUGAGUUCAUAAGUCGGCUCAGGUCGCCCCCGGAUCGCGCACCGUCAAACAGCGGACUCGCUGCGGACACCGGGGUAUCCACACAUCAAACGCGUCUUUUUCCCCCCGUUCAAAUACUGCAGGCAGGUAAAAGGCAGCCUACCAUUAGGACCCAGGCAACAGGGGGCAUACAAUACAAUGGGGUGGGAGGUUCACCUUUCCUCCUGAACUCAGACAAACCUGAGAGAGCAGCUGAUCUACCUCGAGGCCAGCCUUUGUUCGGUAAGUUAUCUUUCCUUUUUUAAACAUGUUUAAAAGCAUGAUUUUAAGAGUGAAAUUGUAGAAAAAACAUUCUGUAAAGUGUUAACAGUACUUUUUUGAUCCAUUUUAAAUUUCCUCCCUGGCAACCAUCGGAGGACAUGACACAAAACGGGUUACAUGGAACAUCUUGCCCGCAUGUUCAACGAUGAUGUUGGGAAGAGAAUGAACUGGAAAGGGAUAAAUGGGAAAAAGUCCUUCAGCCAGAUGGAGUCCAAGACUUUGCUCCUGAUGCUGUCGAAAGAAUCAUGUCUCACGUGCCGCCACAAAUGAUGAGAGUGUGAAACAGCAAUGAGGUUCAACCUGGCAGCAGACAGGGGAAGCUCCAGGAGGCGUGCCACAGUCAGCAUCCCUACUGAACAAGCCUAAACAUGUAUGUGUUAUACAUGUGAUACAUGCGAUGUUUUAAAAUCCUGUUUUUGAUACUAUUCAUUGCAGAGUUUGCUAUCUGUUUAGGUCUUAUAUGCAGAGACACCUCAACUGUGGAGUCUGCUAGCCCCUCCAAACCAAGCCUCACAUGGUUUUAAUCCCCCUUUGUCACCAAAGACUCUCAGGAAAUGUUUAACUACUAAGAUACUUAUUUUGAAUUAUGUUAUAAGUUUGUUGAAUGAGGAGUAGGAAUGUUCCACCACUUGUGUUUUACAGUGUAUGCUCAGGACUGCUUGUGUUCAGUUGUUUCGAUAUGUUUAACCCAGUUCCUCUGUCCUUAUCCAGUCAAGUUGUAAUGUCUGCAUGUGAAUAGUCAUUCACAAGGCACCGUUACUGUGUAAUGCUGCAUUUCUUCUCUCGACAAGUUGGAAUUUCUUUCAGUUUUAACAGUUAC